CCCGAGCCCGGCGCCGCAGCGUCGAGCCUGCCCUCCGGCUGACCUCCGGGUCCCUUCUUUCCUGGCCGUUCGGGGUCAGCCUGGCGCGGGGGCGCACCAAGAGAAGAGGACGUCGCUUGCCCUUCCCUGUUUAUCCAGGCGUGCGCUCUUCGCUUCGGCCAAAGCCCCCACGCUAGGCAGCACAGCCAGGCUGGGAAUAUAGGUCAGUGAUCGAGCGUACAUGGAUUCACUUCCCAAUACCACCACAAAGUCAGGUGUACCCACCUAUAAUCCCAGCACUUGAAUGCUGAGGCAGGAGGAUCACCGUGAGUUUGAGGCCAGCCUCCACUAUAUAUCAAGAGACUAUAUCCAAAAAAAAGACCCGCACAACAAAACAAAAUCCAGCAAAAAUAAAGAACCUGUUUGUCAAUG